UAUUCUAUCUAUAGAGAGAAAAAUAAUUCAAUUUACACAUGGCUUAAGAUAGAUUUUACUGACUGUAAUGUUACAACUAGAUAAGUUUCAACUAGAUUACUGAUUGUAAUCUAUAGAGACUGUAAUAUUACAACUAGAUAAGUUUAGGGACAGUUGUCAAAAUUUAUCCUGAUUUGAUAACACUUAAGAAUUUGAGAUAUGCAAUGAUUGAUAGAUUUUAUGUCAAGGUGGAAAUUGUUAGAUUUAUGACCCAAAUAAUUAGUUUGGAAGACCUUUUCUAAAUUUGAGUAGAAGAAAUAUUGGAAUAUUUUCUAUAUGGAGUAGAACUCUUUUUUGAAUAUUAUUUCUAAAUUAAGUGAGAUUUCUAAUUAGAUUAGGAUUAAGGAAAUUAACAUUAUAAAUAGAAGAAUGAUGAAAAAGUUAUUUGGCUUUAUUCAUAGAGAGUGGCUUUGCCAAUAAAGAGGAGCUUUGUCCAUUGAAAAUGACAACUUUUAGCUUAUAGAAUGGAGCAGUCGCUCAUUGUAGAGAAUGAUUUUGUCAAUUGCUGAGGAUUUGACUUUAAUAAUUGUAGUCCCGUUAAGGGAGAAAGACUUUGGUAUAAGGUAGAGAAAUAACAUAGAAUUCAAAAGGAAUGAAUUUUUAUCCAUUGAAGGCUCUUGCACAUAUAGUUAAAGACACCUUUUGUAGUAGUUAUAGUAGAAAAUAUAUAGGGUUACUUCUAGAGGAGACUGAUAGGACUAACUACAAUAUUUACUAUGACAAGUGUUAUGUAAGGGUUCUCUUGGAUGUAAUAAUUAGGUUUAUAGGUAAUAUAGUUUUGAACUUGUAAUUUAUGAUUAUAUUUAUUUAUUAAUAGUGAAAGAUUGUAUGCCCGCAGAAAUAACCUUAUAUAGAAAGGGCAAACCACGUAAAUAUUAGUAUUUUAUGUAUUUAUUUUAUUUCUUUAUAGUUUACACACUUCCACGGUAUAUAACACUUCACAUUGUAAAUUUCUAGCUCUAACUAUGAAGGGAUGCAUUAAGAUUCCAAAUUGGAUAGAUAAGAGGGCUAAAUGUUUCUUAUAUGACUUGGGUAAUCCUUUCCUCAAAAGAUGAUUUUUGAAGUGAUUUAAAGCUUGUAUUAGGACCAUAGUUGAGGAUAGUUUGCCAUAAUUCACAGACCUUCAUCCUAAUUAUAUGUCCAAUAUGAAAUACGCCUACUGUUGCAGAUGUUCUUGUACGUAGAUCAGAAUGUCUCAUUUGUUAGAUGUUAGAUAUUGAAACUCCGAAUAUAUGAACACUUCUCAAACUCUCCGUUAACUUAAAAAUAUACAUUUCAGAUUUCCAAUGGAAUUCUUUUAAUAUUUCAUUUGGUAUAGAAGUUGAGGUGUAGCUGGGGAAGCAUCUUCAGGUUUGAUGGUUGGGAAGAUGUCUGCCUUUGCUUGCUUAACCUAGCAAUACAAGUAUUUUAGAAAUUUUCCGAGUUGAAACUACCCUGCUAUGUUAUAUUUCAACCCUUGAGUAGUUUAUAUCCAAAACCCCAUCCAAUGUUCAUGCUGUGGCAGAUCAAAUAUGGGGCACUUUGAAGGCAGUGGUUUACCUGUCUCAUGCUAACUCCAUAACCAGAGCUAUUCUUAUUUGCUGCAAAGUUUGGUUUUAACAAGUUAUCUGCUAGACAUGGGUUAGGCUGGUUCUCAAAAGUCAUCCCAGAGUGAGAGAACACUGUAAUUUUAACAUUAUCAAGUAAAAGAAUAAAACUCA